rnacentral:lncRNA from 1 species
UGAUCUGGGCUGGACCCAGGGGCACACCGGACCCAGCAUGUACAAAGAAUACUAACGUCCAGAGCCUAAUAAAACGAGUUUCCUGUUUCAGACUCUGCUUGUCUGUGCCCAUUCCGUCCUCCCAAUCUGAGCCCAGUAUCUCACAUAUUCGUCCCCUUAUUCCAUGCACCUUUUCCCACACGGAAGUCCCUCUGACUAUCUAACUUGAAUCCAAUCCGCUGUAGCUUCUCCUUCGCACGACUCAGUCCGUGCAGCUUGCAUUUUCCGUGGGCGGUUUCGGUGGGCCGACCCAACCCCAAAGCGGCCCUCCCUCCUCGGGAUGGUAGAACUUUGAUUCGCUCUGGCUCGAUACCCACGCGCGUGACUUUACGUGUACCCAAAGGUGGGCUGUGGGUUCCAAGCUGAGUCUCGUUUUGCAGAGAGGAAGGAGAGUGAGACAAAGCGGAGUGGGAAGCCCAAGAACCUGGGGUUCGGAGGAGAGGAGCAGCUCAGAACCCGGGAAGCCAACGGUGGAGAAAUCGGGCGGAGUAGAAAAAGACUGAGGGCUAGGGAAUCGAACGGAGGGAGAGGAUUGGACGCCGGGAUUCGAGGGGGCGGGGAUAGAACGCAGAGGGUUGGAAGGGGGCGGGGAUAAAACCAGAGGCUCUAAUACCCGGCAAGGCACGCGCGAGGCAGAAAUCCGGGUGCCUGGAUGUUGGAUAAUCGGGGGCGACCAGGAGCUCCGGAGGCCCGACGACCAAGUCGCGGACUCGUCGCCCUGGGAUUGGACAUAUGCAAGUGGGAGACUUGGGUCUGGCGCUCUAAAUCGAGGGUGGGGGAAAUCGAGGGUGGGGGGUGUGCUCGGGCUUGGUCGCCAGGAUCGGAUCGGCGGACCUCUGACUCAGCGUGACCCCGCAACUCAACCCUGGACCUGUUUCCCGCCCCCAACCCUGAAUCUUGAAAGUCCUUCAUGGGGAGGGGCGCCCUGCCUUGCACCUCGUUCUCAGCAGAACAGCAAAAGGAAUUAACGCGAGUUGUCCCUCCU